UACGUAGGGGGCAAGCGUUAUCCGGAUUUACUGGGUGUAAAGGGAGCGUAGACGGAUAAGCAAGUCUGAUGUGAAAAUCCGGGGCCCAACCCCGGAAUUGCAUUGGAAACUGCAUAUCUAGAGUGUCGGAGAGGCAAGUGGAAUUCCAUGUGUAGCGGUGAAAUGCGUAGAGAUAUGGAGGAACACCAGUGGCGAAGGCGGCUUACUGGACAGUGACUGACGUUGAGGCUCGAAAGCGUGGGGAUCAA
rnacentral:rRNA from 1 species